GGGGAUGUAGCUCAAUGGUAGAGCGCUUACCUGGUAGGCAUAAGCCCCUGGGUUCAAUUCCCCAGCACCA
rnacentral:tRNA from 1 species